rnacentral:rRNA from 1 species
UCGAGAAUCUUCCACAAUGGGCGAAAGCCUGAUGGAGCGACGCCGCGUGACUGAUGAAGUCCUUCGGGACGUAAAGGUCUUUUAUGAGAGAGAAAGACAUGCCCUUCGAGGUAUGUUUGAUGUUACCUCAUGAAUAAGGGGCUCCUAACUCUGUGCCAGCAGGAGCGGUAAUACAGAGGCCCCGAGCGUUAUCCGGAAUCACUGGGCGUAAAGGGUGCGUAGGCGGUUUUGCUAGUCUUUCGUUAAAACCCCCGGCUCAACCGGGGAAGGGCGAAGGAAACGGCAUUUCUAGAGGAUGUGAGAGGUGUGCGGAACUCAUAGUGUAGGGGUGAAAUCCGUUGAUAUUAUGGGGAACACCAAAUGCGAAGGCAGCACACUGGCACACUCCUGACGCUGAGGCACGAAAGCGUGGGUAGCGAACGGGAUUAGAUACCCCGGUAGUCC